GAUGAAGAACGUAGCGAAAUGCGAUAAGUAAUGUGAAUUGCAGAAUUCAGUGAAUCAUCGAAUCUUUGAACGCACAUUGCGCCCGCCAGUAUUCUGGCGGGCAUGCCUGUUCGAGCGUCAUUUCAACCAUCAAGCCCCCGGCUUGUGUUGGGGACCUGCGGCUGCCGCAGGCCCUGAAAACCAGUGGCGGGCUCGCUAGUCACUCCGAGCGUAGUAAUACAUCUCGCUCAGGGCGUGCUGCGGGUUCCGGCCGUUAAAAAGCCUUAUUUACCCAAGGUUGACCUCGGAUCAGGUAGGAAGACCCGCUGAACCUAAGCAUAUCAAUAAGCGGAGGA
rnacentral:misc_RNA from 1 species